GUGUUUGUUGCCUGCGAUGAACCGUCACACCGCUACGAGAUCUGAAAGGUCACUCUCUAGCAACUCCCUCAUAUGUAUCUUCAGUCUGAGUAGUUUUAAUGGUUUUGUGAUAUCAUGUGUUAGCUUAAUCCCAUAAGUUCUUUAUCAGACAUACUUGGUGAGUUGAAUGCAAUCAGAAUCACAAUCACCGACCGUAUACCAGGGGCACAUCGUGUGAUGCUAACUCUGCGUCUUUAAAGUGGUGAAAACGUUUGUGUUAGUAUAUGCUUGAUUCAAUGGCUCUUGCGUUUCAUUUCAUACCAAAUUUGACAGCUAUGGGAAAGAGCCAAAAGUUAUAAUUGCCACGAGCGUGAAUCCUAAGAUAGUUGGUGGUGACUUAUUAACAGACCAAGAAAGCUUCAACAAUGCCAAGCAAUGGCUAAACCAAAUCGGCCGCUACACCAGUGACAAUGUGAACAAGCUACUGGUUGGGAACAAUUGUGAUCUCACUUCACAGAAAGUUGUAUCCGCUGAAACAACCAAGAUGAACAUGAGAUCCCAUUCUUGGAGACACGUGCCAAGAAUGCUACCAAUGUCGAAGAAUGCUACCGUGUUUUCCACAUUCGACGGUGAAAUGACGAAGCUGAUUAGUGUCCAUGCUGCAGAGGUCCCACAAAUUAUAGUUGUCACAAAGAAACAGAUGUGAUCCAAUUUCUUAUAAAUAAAGGUUCUCUUAAAGCUUGCUCAUCAACUCAUGUUUGUUGAAGUAAUCAAAACCUAGGUACAGCAGCGUGCUUAAUCCAUCGAAGAUUGCUUCAUAAAAAAGGCCCGAUAAAGACAAGACGACCAAAAGACCACUGAUUUUACGGACACCACAUUUAAGAUAUUUUCUUAACUACUCUGUUUCAUAAACACUCUGGCGGCCACCCAACUUCAGAGUUAACGAAUAGUUAAAUUUCUUAAACAGAGCCCAACGAUGAAGUUCAUCUUGCCGGAGAUUGCUGUAAAACAAAUGAAUGAUUAGAAACAGAAGCACACAUGUAAAAAGCUACCAAAUCAUUUUUUUUUACAUGCAAUGAAAUAAAAGAUAAUAAUAUGGCCUUAGUUGUUUGAGUAUUUCUUUUUGCUUUGGGUUUUUGGUUUCAACUAUAUAAUUAUUUUCUCAAACUUGAUUUACAAGGUUAGAACUUAGAAUAAAUCACUAAAAUGUUAAUAAAUAUUUACUACAAAUAAGAUACAUGUUCGAACUUGGAGCUGGAUGCAGAGACUAUGAAAAAAAAAUAUUGAUACCACAAGAGCAAAAAACAUAUUUUCGUUAUUUAAGUGAAAUAUAAUAAAAGUGUUCUACAAUACCUUUUCUUUUCUGUUGACAAAUGAAAAGAAUACAUUUUUCGAUUAAAACUUAACCGAAAAACUCGAGAAGAUAAAACAUGCUAGAUUAGCAAAAAAAAUGUGAUUUUAGUAUUUGAUAUUUUAAACAUAACAACAGUCUGUGGUGUUACACGAAAAGAAAAAAACAAUGUGGUAUUAACAAUGGAGACAAAGGCAGAAACAAUAAACUACGAAAGCAUAAGAAAAAGAUGUCAAUAGACACCAUAAAGCGAUGGAGUAGCCAACGAUAAAGAAGAAAGAAACAUAUGAUAGUGUUGGGUGAAUUUUAGUGUUUGAUUAAGGAAACUUUUGAAUAAAAACAUUGUUAGAGACACACUCAUAAUCAUGGAUCAUAAAAUACAUUAACAUGUACCACAAUCAAGUAUAAAACUCUAACAUACAAUUAAAAAAAAUUAAUAUAUACUACACAUAUAAUCUCAUGCAAGAUGAAGCAAAAAAAAAUAUAAACUCAUGCAAAUACAACA